GAUGAACGCUGGCGGCGUGCCUAAUACAUGCAAGUCGAGCGAACAGACGAGGAGCUCGCUCCUCUGACGUUAGCGGCGGACGGGUGAGUAACACGUGGAUAACCUACCUAUAAGACUGGGAUAACUUCGGGAAACCGGAGCUAAUACCGGAUAAUAUAUUGAACCGCAUGGUUCAAUAGUGAAAGACGGUUUUGCUGUCACUUAUAGAUGGAUCCGCGCCGCAUUAGCUAGUUGGUAAGGUAACGGCUUACCAAGGCAACGAUGCGUAGCCGACCUGAGAGGGUGAUCGGCCACACUGGAACUGAGACACGGUCCAGACGCCUACGGGAGGCAGCAGUAGGGAAUCUUCCGCAAUGGGCGAAAGCCUGACGGAGCAACGCCGCGUGAGUGAUGAAGGUCUUCGGAUCGUAAAACUCUGUUAUUAGGGAAGAACAAAUGUGUAAGUAACUAUGCACGUCUUGACGGUACCUAAUCAGAAAGCCACGGCUAACUACGUG
rnacentral:rRNA from 1 species